AGAGUUUGUUAAACAGAAAACAAAAAAUAUAAACUCAAAACUUAUCAUAGUACUACCCCUCAAGCUAAAGCUUACUAAGCUUUAAGCUUGGUACAAAAUUGACCAAAUAAUUUAUCAAUCUAAUCCAUCUAAUAUCACAAUUCAUACCCAGAGAGAAACCCAACAACCAAUGAGACGAACCAUCAUAUAGAGGAGCAACAACGAAACCAAACUGAACAUCAAACUAAACCAAACCAAACCAAUCCAAUUUCAAACCAAACGAAACCGAACCAAUGGAAAAAUCCAAAGUCCAAACUUUACCAAACCAAAUUGUUCCAAUCCAAACCGAACCAAAUCAAAUCAAUCCAAACCAAAGAGAAUAACCAAACCAAAUAGAGAGAAAAGCAACCAAGCAGAAGA
rnacentral:lncRNA from 1 species